GAAAUGCGAUAAGUAGUGUGAAUUGCAGAAUUCAGUGAAUCAUCGAAUCUUUGAACGCACAUUGCGCCCCUUGGUAUUCCAUGGGGCAUGCCUGUUCGAGCGUCAUUUGUACCCUCAAGCUCUGCUCGGUGUUGGGUGUUUGUCCCGUCUCCGCGCGUGGACUCGCCCCAAAGUGAUUGGCAGCCGGCGUACUGGUCCCGGAGCGCAGCACAUGUCGCGCAAACGAGUGCCUUGGUACGGCGGCGUCCAUAAGCCCCUCUCUCACGCUCUUGACCUCGGAUCAGGUAGGGAUACCCGCUGAACUUAAGC
rnacentral:misc_RNA from 1 species